rnacentral:lncRNA from 1 species
AUGGGGUUUCACCAUGUUGACCAGGAUGUUCUCAAACUCCUGACCUCAGGUGAUCUGCCUGCCUCGGCCUCCCAGAGUGCUGGGAUUACAAGUGUGAGCCACCGCGCCCAGCCUACCUCCUCAUCUUUCUUUUUUUUUUUUUUUUUUUUUUUUUUUUUUUUUGAGGCCCAGUCUGCAAGCUCUGUCGCCCAGGCUGGGUGCAGUGGCGGAUCUCCAGCUCACCACCAGCUCCGCCUCCCGGGGUCCAGCCAUUCUCCUGCCUCAGCCUCCCGAGUAGCUGGAAGCUACAGCCCUGGCCAGCGCCCGGCUAAGUUUUGUAUAUUUUUUUUUUUUGAGACGGAGUUUCACUCUUGUUGUCCAGGCUGGAGUGCAAUGGCGCGAUCUCAGUUCACCCCAACCUCCACCUCCUGGGUUCAAGUGAUUCUCCUGCCUUGAGUAGCUCCUGCCUUCCGAGUAGCUGGGAUUACAGGCAUGUGCUACCAUGGCCGGCUAAUUUUGUAUUUUUAGUAGAGAUGGGGUUUCUCCAUGUUAGUCAGGCUGGUCUCGAACUCCCAACCUCCGGUGAUCUGCCCGCCUCAGCCUCCCAAAGUGCUGGGAUUACAGGCGUGAGCCACCAUGCCCGGCCAAGCUGUGCUCUUAUACAUAUAAUGCUAUGGCUUGAAUGUGUCCCUCGUAAGUUCAUAUAUUGGAAACUUAAUGGUCGUUAUAAUGGUAUUAAGAAGUGAGACAUUUAAGAGGUGGUUAGCCAGGAGGACUCUGCACUCAUGAGUGGACUGAUGCUGUUAUUGCAGGAGUGAGCUCCUGAGAAAAGGAUAAGUUUGGUCUCUUUUCUCUCUGUCUCUUAUGGUGGGCAUAGAUGCCAUGUGAUACCUUCCACCACAGGAUGACCCUCACCAGAUGCCAGUGCCAUGCUCUUGGACUUCCCAGCUUCUAGAACCACGAGCCAAAUAAACAUCUUUUCUACAUAAAUUAUGCAGUCUGUGGUAUUUUGUUGUAACAGCAGAAGAUAGACUGUGACACAGUGAAUGUCACAUGCUGAGUAUUAUUCUACCCGAUCCUCCCGUCUCUCGUUGGUACAGAGAAACACAGGUGUGAAUAUGAGAGUGAGUAAGAAACCUCCACUCAGUACUUGCUGCGGUAUUUGCUGCAGCUCCUGCACACACAUCUUUGCUCUGCAUGUUCCAUUGUUCCAACAUUUCCACUAAUUACACAUGAUGCAUCAUCCACAGCCCCCGCCCCGCCGCCAACCUGCCCCCAGUGUCUCUAGUCCUCACACUCUGUGUUACACCUUCAGUUAUACCUCGUGUCUUUGCACCUGCACGCAUCCUCGCACUUGGUGCCUUUACACCUGCGUGCAUCUCCUUGAAGCCUGUGCUAUACAUUACCCUUGAUAUUUGUAAUGUGUUACACACACACACAUUCUUCCUCUCCCUGGCAGAUUUAUGCUACUGAGAAGAAUACCACCUCCUCCAAGCAGCCCCUUGAAGCCUUACCAGUUGGGGACUGAUAGAUACCAACUCAUAUUCUCUCUAGAAAAGCUAUUGAGCUCUGUGACUGCAUCCCUGGCACCUGUCCAGAGAAUAUUGUUUGGGCACCAUAAAUUACCAUCAAGUUGCUGUUUCAAGGGGCUCUGUAAUGGCUGGCACAGGAACAGGACAGGAAGGAGGAAAUAAAGUUUUACCCUGUCAUCUCAGGGCCUGGCAUCCCUCCCCCAGGCACCAAGGGAGGUUGCUUGGAAGUCCCCAGGCUCCUCUCACUUGUCAUUUUCUCAUGUGGAUCACUCUGACGCUCCUCAUUGUAGCACACACACAGGGCCACUCCUUACUGCACAUAGCCCAUCGCUCCUGUCUUAGGAUUAUCAGCAUCUCUGCUUCCUCCAAGCAGUGGCAGCUCCUCAGGAGGUCUGUGGGGUGCGGGAGGGACUAGGGGGUUGGGGCAGUCAAUUCUCUUUUUCACACUCAGCUCAUGCAGUCAACUGAGGUAGUUGAAGAGGAGAAGAAUCGGGGUAGAGACCUCAGAGAAGAAGAGGAGGAUCAGGGUAGAGACCUUAGCCUGUAGUUCUAGAACCCUUGGCUUGCGGAGUGUCACUUGGAUGAACAUAGGAAGUAUCGAUAAAUGUCUCCUUAGGGAGAAGAGGCUCCUUCCUUGUGAAUGCUGGGAUCUUGAGUAGGGGAGAAAUAAGGGAGAAGUGGGUGGGGAGGGAAUGCAUUAGAGCAGUGGCUUGCUACUGGGGUCCAUUUUACCUUUCAAGAGGACAUUUGGCAACGUCUGAGAGGCUGUCACGAAUCGGCAGGGGUGGGGUGUGAGGUGGGUAGAGGCCAGGGAUGCUGUUAAACAUCUUCUAUGCACCGGAUGGCUUCCCACAACAAAGCCAUCUGGCCCAAAUGUCAAUGGUGCCACAAUUGAGAAACCCGGUACUAGCACAUAGGAUGGCCCCAUGGGCAGGACCACCUCUGCAGAAAGUGAAGGGAAGUCCUGCUCCCCAUGUGUGGAGGGAGGGAGUCGGGAUCCACAGUGAAGGAGCAGCAGACUUCCAGCCCCGCACAGACCAGACCGUUCUUCCCAGGGGACAGGCUCUCCAGGCUGGUGUUGGCUGGUGGCUUCCUGCAUUCCCAGAAGAAGGGAAAGGCCAUGGUAUCCUCAGGGCGGGUAGCUGAGAAACCCUGCAGAGCCGGGUGACUUUUGGCUAUUCAGAUUCAAUCUAGAUCCUCCCAAUGCACUAUCUGUGCACUCAUCCAAGUGCUUUCCACCAAAUCCCCAUCAAAGCGGAGCUAACUGCCCUUCCCCAGUGUCCCUGCCAUGCCCUUCUCUUCCCAGCACUUCCACAUUAUUAUUAUUUUGUGAGAUGGAGUUUCGCUCUUGUUGCCCAGGCUGGAGUGCAAUGGCAUGAUCUCAGUUCACUGCAACCUCUGCCUCCUGGGUUCAAGUGAUUCUCCUGCUCAGCCUCCCAAGUAGCUGGGAUUACAGGGAUGCACCACCAUGCCUGGCUAAUUUUGUAUUUUUAGUAGACAUGGGGUUUCUCCAUGUUGGUCAGGCUGGUCUCGAACUCCCGACCUCAGGUGAUCCACCUGCCUUGGCCUCCCAAAGUGCUGGGAUUACAGGCGUGAGCCACUGCUCCUGGCCACUUUCACAUUAUUAUUAUUAUAUUAUUAUUAUUAUUUUGAGAUGGAGUCUUCCUCUGUUGCCCAGGCUGGAGUGGAGUUGCUCCAUCUCAGCUCACUGCAACCACCUCCUCCUGGGUUUAAGCGAUUCUCCUGCCUCAGCCCUCAGAGUAGCUGGGGUUACAGGUCCCCACCACUGCACCCAGCUAAUUUUUUUUUGUAUUUUUAGUAGAGAUGGGGUUUAACCAUGUUGGCCAUGGUUGGCCAGGCUGGUCUCGAACUCUUGACCUCAAGUGAUCCUCCCGCCUUAGCCUCCCAAAGUACUGGGAUUACAGGCAUGAGCUACCGUGCCCGGUCCACUUCCACAUUAUAUUGCUUAUUUGCUUCUUGGUGUUUCCCAUUAGACUCCUCCUGAAUGGCUGUGUUUUAUUCAUCCCUCUGUCCCCAUCACCUGGCUUUGUCCACUGAGCACCUAUGGCAUAUCAGGCACCAUUUGUGGACAGAAUGGACGGAAGCAUGAUUUCAGUAGAUAUUGGCAAUUAACACGUUUUUGUCUAGGCAGUUAUUUUCCUUGUAAGAACCACUCCUUUCCCGCUGUUCAUGGCUCUGGAAAGGCUGAUGGGGUUUGGGCCAAUUCAUGGUCUUCUGUUGAUAGAGGGAGGGUCUCUUUGCCAUUCCCAUGACUGGUGCAAGGAUAUAGGUUUGGGCCUGUUGGCAACCAUCUUUCCUACAUAUGGAAUAAAUCAAUGUGAAAAUAAGGCCACAUCCCAAGGGAAGCGGCAUUGAGAGGUGGAGCAAAGACUGUACCUUGUGAACAUCUUUGUGCCCCUGGAUCUGACCACAUCUGAAGCCAGUCCUGCCUUUGGAUAUCCUGGUUUUUGCUUUGCGUUAGGAUUCUGUCACUGACCCCUGCAAGUCUCCUGAUUAAUACAGAGAUGCUGCCCGGGGGCAGAAACCAGCCUGUGUUCACUUUCUCCAUCUUCACUGCAGCAUUCUACGUAAUACAUGUUUCCUAAACGUUCACGUGGUUGACUAACAGCCAGUGGGGCAGAUUCCUUGUGGCCAAAGGCUCUAGCCUGAGAACAAAAUCUGUAUGUAUGUGGCCGAGAUAAGACCAUGAUAAGGGAUUGUUGAGGGAGUGGCCUGGGAAUGGAAACAGCCUGAGCUGACUGAGAAGUGAAGAUUCCCAGCCACCUGGGAGGGGCCUGUUCCUGAUCCGCAGUGUGGCCUCUUUAAGCCUCAAUUUUCACACUGUUUCACAGAGUGGCUGGGAAGUUCAAAUAACAGCAAUUAAUUGGGUAGAAGUGUUUUAUGAAUGCAUGAGUGUAAGGACAUCCCUUUUACUGUCCCUAGAAUUGGGCUCAGUUCGGGGACAGGGAUCAUCUCUGGAAGAGCAGCUACUGGGUAGACGGUCCCUAAGAGGGUCUAGGCAUUGCUUCUUCUGUCCUCUCUGUCCUGGAGCCUUCUAGGAGAGCAAGGCCCCAGGGCUUUA